rnacentral:rRNA from 1 species
GAUGAACGCUGGCGGCGUGCCUAAUACAUGCAAGUCGAGCGAACAGACGAGGAGCUUGCUCCUCUGACGUUAGCGGCGGACGGGUGAGUAACACGUGGAUAACCUACCUAUAAGACUGGGAUAACUUCGGGAAACCGGAGCUAAUACCGGAUAAUAUAUUGAACCGCAUGGUUCAAUAGUGAAAGACGGUUUUGCUGUCACUUAUAGAUGGGUCCGCGCCGCAUUAGCUAGUUGGUAAGGUAACGGCUUACCAAGGCAACGAUGCGUAGCCGACCUGAGAGGGUGAUCGGCCACACUGGAAGUGAGACACGGUCCAGACUCCUACGGGAGGCAGCAGUAGGGAAUCUUCCGCAAUGGGCGAAAGCCGGACGGAGCAACGCCGCGUGAGUGAUGAAGGUCUUCGGAUCGUAAAACUCUGUUAUUAGGGAAGAACAAAUGUGUAAGUAACUAUGCACGUCUUGACGGUACCUAAUCAGAAAGCCACGGCUAACUACGUG